rnacentral:rRNA from 1 species
AUUGAACGCUGGCGGCAGGCCUAACACAUGCAAGUCGAGCGGAUGAAGGGAGCUUGCUCCUGGAUUCAGCGGCGGACGGGUGAGUAAUGCCUAGGAAUCUGCCUGGUAGUGGGGGAUAACGUCCGGAAACGGGCGCUAAUACCGCAUACGUCCUGAGGGAGAAAGUGGGGGAUCUUCGGACCUCACGCUAUCAGAUGAGCCUAGGUCGGAUUAGCUAGUUGGUGGGGUAAAGGCCUACCAAGGCGACGAUCCGUAACUGGUCUGAGAGGAUGAUCAGUCACACUGGAACUGAGACACGGUCCAGACUCCUACGGGAGGCAGCAGUGGGGAAUAUUGGACGAUGGGCGAAAGCCUGAUCCAGCCAUGCCGCGUGUGUGAAGAAGGUCUUCGGAUUGUAAAGCACUUUAAGUUGGGAGGAAGGGCAGUAAGUUAAUACCUUGCUGUUCUGACGUUACCAACAGAAUAAGCACCGGCUAACUUCGUG